AGACCCAUAAUUAUUUUCUCAAAUUUUAAAUGUUUAAUAUGUAUUUGGAUUAUCAAAGUGUGUAUAACAAUGUGGAUAUGAGUUGGGUCAAUGUGAGAUGACUUGUAAGUUGUGGGAGUUGACGUGAUACAAUAGGAGUGAAAGGGUGAAAGUGUUAUUUGUGCUAUAUAAGUCAAAAAAAAAAAAAAGGGGAGCAGGAGAUUAUUUUUCUCUCUUUUCCUUUCCUUUCUUUUCUUCUUCUCCGGCAUCUCUCUCGGCUCUCACCUCUCUCACCUUCUCUCUUCGAUUUCAUCGACCACGAGUGAGACUUUUGAAAAAUCCCAAGUACUAAAGUUGUUCUACGCGACGAGAGCUUCCUAUCCAUCGAAGAAAAUUCACGAUCGGAGCACUUCGAAGUUUCCUCCAUGUUCGGGCUUGCUUCUAACCUUCGAGGUACUCGCCAUGGCACUUAGCUUGGAUUGCAUGGAGUGCACAUUGAGAUGUCUCUUGAGAGCUUUAUUGGUAUCAUAAAGGAAGUGUUUAUCAUCUAGUCUAAUUCAUGUUGUGUACUUUACUCGCAAUGAAAAGUUGUACUUUUUGAUUAGAAUAUAUGUAAAGCUAUGUGUAAAUUCCUCUCCUUGAUCAUUAUGGAACUCAUUUAAUUGUAAACGUUUAGGAGACUUUAUGUAAAAAAAAAAAAAAAAAUUUAGAGAGAAGAAGAAGAAACUUUGAUUCUUUAUU